UACAGAGGUGGCAAGCGUUGUUCGGAAUUACUGGGCGUAAAGGGCGCGUAGGCGGUUCGAUAAGUCCCGUGUGAAAUCCCUCGGCUCAACUGAGGAAUGGCACGGGAAACUGACGGGCUUGAGUUCGGGAGAGGGAAGCGGAAUUCCGGGUGUAGCGGUGAAAUGCGUAGAUAUCCGGAGGAACACCAGUGGCGAAGGCGGCUUCCUGGACCGACACUGACGCUGAGGCGCGAAAGCUAGGGGAGCAAACGGG
rnacentral:rRNA from 1 species